CACCUCUUUAAUUUUGGAUAUUCUUUGUCCAAAUACUACUUUUUCCAACCAAUGUUAUGUUUUGGUUUGAUGCUCACUAAUUAUUUCAUGAAACAAACUGUUUUCAUUUGUUUUCACUAGCUCUUCCAACUAAAAGACUAAUUCAACUUCAAAAGUAACAUUUUGUCAAAUCAAUCUAUGACACUUCCAUCACAAAUUUUCAUUCUCAAUGUUGCAUCACGCACACACAGACACACACUUCAUCCUUCCCAUUAAUAUAUCUUCUCUCGUUAGCGUGAUUCUUUUUCUCUCUUACAUUCAAUAGGUUUUUGAAACCCUUUCUCUCUCUGACAAUUUCUUGGCUCUACAUUUCUUCUUUCUCCAAAGAAUUUCUUCAUUCUCUAGCAUAAUUUCUCCCUUCUCUGUGUUUCAGUUUAGAGACUUACAAGUGAUGUUUUGUUUUGAAUUCUUAUGUUAUUUUGAUUCUUUGUCCCAAUAUUUUUUCAGUCAUGGUUUACAAAAAUUCCUUAUACCAAAAGUUAUUGCAAACCUAUUUUCAUAAACUGAUUUACAUAUUCUUUGUUGCAAACCACAACUUUUUAUCAUUAACGAAAAAUGCUUUAUUGCUUCAUGGUUAAUGAUUUGUUUGAUUCAAUAUUUUCUUGAGUGAUGUUUUGGACGUGUUUUUUUAAGGUUAUUGUUUAUCUUCAACCUUAUACUAGAAUCAAAGAAUUAGUUUCACUCUAGGAUCUGUAAGCUAGGGUUCGAUUUCAAAAUCAAUGCAAAUUUUUGUUAAGUAUUUUGUUAACUACUUAGAUUUAAUUUCUCAUUAUUUUGUUUUUUCUUUUGUGAUUUUUCUUUAUAAUGUUGUUACGUUUUUCAAAUUUAGUUGUUCGAUGUUGGUUGUUUGUUGACUCAUUAUGUAAUUUGUUUCUCACAAUGCACUUGAUUCGACAUGCUCUUUAUUUUUACUAUUUUUUUAAAUUAAUUUUUAGGUGAUUAAAGGUUAAUGUUUGGUUGUUUGAAGGAGAGGUCGAAUGUUUGAAGGUUUUCAGGGGAAGGAGAUGAAGGUGUGUGAAAAAUUGUGGUAUUUUCUAGGUAAGGGAUGAAGAAAUGGAUGAAUAUAAGGGUACUGGGGUUUGAGAUUAUGAAGGAUUGAAGGUGUUUUUUGGGGGAAAUGGAAGAACAGGUUGAAUGUAUAAAGAUUAUGGUGAAGAAUAAUGAAUGAGGUAAAGAUUUCUGAAAAAGAGACGGGUUCCGUUUCACGAAAUUGAUGGUUUUCUAGGGAAUAUUAUGAAGGUUUGAUGAGGGUUUUCUUGUAUAAGUUUGAGGGAACGGGAGAUGAUGAGAGAGAAAAAUUCAAAUAAAAUAAAAUAUAGUUCCUUUUCUUGUGAUUAUCAGGACAGGAAAGAGAUAAGGGAAAUCCAUAGGGGUCAAAUUGGACGUUGCCACGAGUGAAUAUGCGUAGGGAUGAGGAUAUGACCAAAAGAUGGAAAUAGCAGUUAACACAAGGAUGACUUUCUUAUGAUUUGAUAUUGAUCAAUUUAAAAACACAUUGAAUAUGAAAACUGAAUUUUAAUUUACUCCUAUUAUUUUAUAGUUCUCUGUGUCUCUCUGUAUAGUGAAUUAUUUUAUGCUGCAAAGACAGUUACUCAAUGUUUAAGGGAGUUCAAAUUAUGUGUUUAUUUUUUAUCCAACACUUCCCCAUCUCAAGAAUUCUUGCAUGGCUUAAGAGACAUAGAUGUGUUUACUAUAUAUAACUUUUAUCUUUUUCUUUAAUACAUGCUUGAAAAUUAUGAUGAAAUUUUGCGGCCAUCUCAUAUAUCUGGAUAUUUAUACAUUAGAAUUGUACUUACGUUCCAAACCUCUAUUAGUUUACUUUGCAUCGAUCUAUUUGUCAUUGCCUAACAGAUUAGUACUAACUGGAUUUUUCUUUUUUGCUAUAGAGAUGGGUGGCACUACCGAGUGAACCUCCAAGAAUUAAUGAUACCGAUGUAGAUGAUUGGCUUCUUCGCAUUUUUGUUCUUCAGGGUAUUUAUCGAAUAAAAGAUGUAUAGACAAGUAAAGAGGAAAAUAGAAAAAAGAAAAGAAAAAGAGAAGAAAAUGGAGCAAAAUAGGAAUGGUGGGCCCACCACACAUGGAAGCAUGGCGCCCACCACACCAAAUGAAUGGUGGCGCCCACCACUUGGAUAUGUGGCGCCCGUCACAUGGCUUUAGGAAGUGGUGGUGCCCACCUCACACAAUGUGGCGCCCGCCACAAGGCCUUAAGAAGUGGUGGUGCCCAUCUCACAUAAUGUGGCGCCCGCCACGUAGACCACAUUAGGAUUGUGACAGCCGCCAUCAACCCGGUCUUCCUUAUUCUUCUCCACACUUUUUGCCACGACCUUCUCUUACGUUUUCAACUAACCACUCCCCACUAGUAGAUAUCCAAUGCUACGUUUAAGGAGAGUGGGGAGUAUAUAUGGGAAGGUUAGUUUUUACGAAAAGGAUGCAUUUUUCUAGUCAGAUUGUUGUUGUUAGAUUUUUUUUCUUAGGCAGUUUCCUACUUUGGAAAAGUAAUAGAUUCUCCACAUCAGGGACUAUUGCAAUUAUUGUUUAAGUAUCUGAAUUUGAUUGUAACGGUGUACUGGAUUGCCAAAGCAUGACGACAUUGUUUAAUUUGAAGAAUCAGUAUUCAUUCCAA